UAUCUCUGUAGAGUCUGCAUAUCAAUAAGCGGAGGAAAAGAAACUAACAAGGAUUCCCUUAGUAACGGCGAGUGAAGCGGGAAGAGCUCAAAUUUGAAAUCUUCAAGGUUCUACCUUGACGAAUUGUAGUUUAAAGAAGUGUUUUCUGUUAGAUGAGUAGCAAAAGUUCCUUGGAAUGGGACAUCAUAGAGGGUGAGAAUCCCGUAUUUGGUUAUUCAUCCUAGCUUUGUGAUACACUUUCAAAGAGUCGGAUUGUUUGGGAAUGCAGUCCAAAAUGGGUGGUAAAUUUCAUCUAAAGCUAAAUAUUGGCGAGAGACCGAUAGCGAACAAGUACCGUGAGGGAAAGAUGAAAAGAACUUUGAAAAGAGAGUUAAACAGUACGUGAAAUUGUCAAAAGGGAAGCGUUUGACACCAGUGUUGUUUUUCCGAAAAUCAAUUACGAAUGGCUUGAUUCUGUGUUGUAUUGACCUUAUCAGCUUUCUUCACUUUUUUCGAGUCUUUCUUAAUGCACUUUUCGGUUAACAAGUCAACAUCAAUUUCUUUUGUUGUAAAAGAGUAUUCGGAAGGUGGCUUUCUUUUCGGAGAAAGUGUUUAUAGCCCUAUACUUCUACAAUCGGAGAGAUUGAGGUCUGCAGCGUAGAUCCUUCGGGGUUAGAUACACUUUGUGUUAAGUUGUAGCUUUUCAUAGACAACUUGUUGACUAUGUUUAGUCAUGCGGCUUACUCGCUUAGUGCUAUUUUACCUACGCUUAGGAUGUUGACGAGACUGUCGAUCUC
rnacentral:rRNA from 1 species